GAUCCUGGCUUAGGACGAACGCUGGCGGCGUGCUUCAUACAUGCAAGUCGAACGAGAAGUACCUCGGGUGAUGGAAAGUGGCGGACGGGUGAGUAAUGUGUAGAGAAUCUGCCCUUUAGUGGGGGACAACAGUUGGAAACGACUGCUAAUACCCCAUAUGCGCGUAGCUGAGAUGCUAUUCGUGAAAACUCCGGUGCUAAAGGAUGAGUCUGCAUCUGAUUAGCUAGUUGGCGGUGUAAUGGACCACCAAGGCGACGAUCAGUAGCUGGUUUGAGAGGAUGAUCAGCCACAAUGGGACUGAGACACGGCCCAUACUCCUACGGGAGGCAGCAGUAGGGAAUUUUGCGCAAUGGGGGAAACCCUGACGCAAGCAACGCCACGUGAUUGAAUAAGCCCUUCGGGGUGUAAAGAUCUGUCAGUAGGGACGAAACUUGACGGUACCUACAGAGGAAGCAUCGGCUAACUCCGUGCCAGCAGCUGC
rnacentral:rRNA from 1 species